rnacentral:rRNA from 1 species
GACGAACGCUGGCGGCGUGCUUAACACAUGCAAGUCGAACGGUGAAAGGGAGCUUGCUCCCUGGAUCAGUGGCGAACGGGUGAGUAACACGUGGGCAACCUGCCCCAGACUUCGGGAUAACGCUUCGAAAGAGGUGCUAAUACCGGAUACGAACUCCUUGGGCAUCCUUGGAGUUGGAAAGUUUUUCGGUCUGGGAUGGGCCCGCGGCCUAUCAGCUUGUUGGUGAGGUAACGGCUCACCAAGGCGACGACGGGUAGCCGGCCUGAGAGGGCGACCGGCCACACUGGGACUGAGACACGGCCCAGACUCCUACGGGAGGCAGCAGUGGGGAAUAUUGCGCAAUGGGCGAAAGCCUGACGCAGCAACGCCGCGUGAGGGAUGACGGCCUUCGGGUUGUAAACCUCUUUCAGCAGGGAAGAAGCGAAAGUGACGGUACCUGCGGAAAAAGCACCGGCUAACUACGUGCCAGCAGCCGCCGCAG